UACGAAGGGUGCAAGCGUUACUCGGAAUUACUGGGCGUAAAGCGUGCGUAGGUGGUGGUUUAAGUCAGAUGUGAAAGCCCUGGGCUCAACCUGGGAACUGCAUUUGAUACUGGAUCACUAGAGUGCGGUAGAGGAUAGUGGAAUUCCCGGUGUAGCAGUGAAAUGCGUAGAGAUCGGGAGGAACACCAGUGGCGAAGGCGACUAUCUGGACCAGCACUGACACUGGGGCACGAAAGCGUGGGGAG
rnacentral:rRNA from 1 species